rnacentral:rRNA from 1 species
AUUGAACGCUGGCGGCAGGCCUAACACAUGCAAGUCGAACGAGUGGCGGACGGGUGAGUAAUGUCUGGGAAACUGCCUGAUGGAGGGGGAUAACUACUUGAAACGGUAGCUAAUACCGCAUACCAUCAGAUGGGCCCAGAGGGGAUUAGCUAGGAGGGGGGGUAACGGCUGUCCUAGGCGACGCUCCCUAGCUGGUCUGGGAGGAUGAACAGCCACACUGGAACUGAGACAAGGUCCAGACUCCUACGGGAGGCAGGAGUGGGGAAUAUUGCACAAUGGGCGCAAGCCUGAUGCAGCCAUGCCGGGUGUAUGAAGAAGGCCUUCGGGUUGUAAAGUACUUUCAGCGGGGAGGCGUUACCCGCAGAAGAAGCACCGGCUAACUCCGUGCCAGCAGCCGCGGUAAUAC